rnacentral:sRNA from 1 species
GGCCAAGACUGGGACCAGGAAAGAAUGAAAAUGAAAGCCAAGUUUCAACAGAUGAAAGUGA